AUAUCAAAAAUAAAAAUGAAUUGCUUGUUAAAAAUAUAUAUAUGUUUUUUUUCUUGUUCUUUGCAAUACUUGUCUGUUCCGAAGGGUAUUCUUGGCUCGCCAACAUAUCUCGUCUGUUCUCUGACUAAAAUAAAUCACUUUCUACUCUCAGAGUUUUACAUGACGAAUAUCACUUAAAAUUUGUAGCAAAACACAUAAAAUUUGGCCUUUUAGCAUAUUUGCUUCAAAAGGCACCCUAACAGCAAAGUUGUCUAUGCUUGAAUGCUAAAUUGAGAGGCAAAUCUGAUUUAUAAGAUGCCAACUUCGCUAUGAGAACUGUGAAUUUGCAUUAUAACUUUGCGUUGCAGAGAACCAUAGGUAUCCAUAAUACCUUUUUGUCUGAAGCCAUGAGUAUACUACAUGGACUCGACAUUUCCCUGAGACUGGGCACGCGACCUGGUAAUCCCUUCUUUCCAUCCUCUCUGACGAGCUCUUGACUCCCACAUUGCUGUCAGUUUCUUUUGCACUGCUAAUGCAGCUUCAGCUUUCUCCCUAGCUUCUUCACAGGUUUCCAUCCCUGAAUUGCAUUUGUCUGCUUCCUUUUGAUA
rnacentral:misc_RNA from 1 species